GAACAUCUGAUGAUUGGAAGAGUAGGUAUGCAGAUUGUAUUCAGCGAGCCAAAGUUGGUGUGAGUUUGGCACAUGACCAUAUUGAAACGUAUCCAUGAAGAGGUUUUCCGAAAGGCCAUAGCCCAUUAGGAAAACUCGGCCGCCCCCGUUAAAGGCUUCGAGUGAAAACAGCAGGCGGUGUCUUUAGUUUUACAGAAUUUUAUAUGUCUGUUGUUUUAAAAAGAGUGGUAACGCGAUGUCUUCGUCUCUUAU
rnacentral:ncRNA from 1 species